UGGGGAAUAUUGCACAAUGGGCGCAAGCCUGAUGCAGCCAUGCCGCGUGUAUGAAGAAGGCCUUCGGGUUGUAAAGUACUUUCAGCGAGGAGGAAGGCGUUGUGGUUAAUAACCGCAGCGAUUGACGUUACUCGCAGAAGAAGCACCGGCUAACUCCGUGCUAGCAGCCGCGGUAAUACGGAGGGUGCAAGCGUUAAUCGGAAUUACUGGGCGUAAAGCGCACGCAGGCGGUCUGUCAAGUCGGAUGUGAAAUCCCCGGGCUCAACCUGGGAACUGCAUCCGAAACUGGCAGGCUAGAGUCUUGUAGAGGGGGGUAGAAUUCCAGGUGUAGCGGUGAAAUGCGUAGAGAUCUGGAGGAAUACCGGUGGCGAAGGCGGCCCCCUGGACAAAGACUGACGCUCAGGUGCGAAAGCGUGGGGAGCAAACA
rnacentral:rRNA from 1 species